GCCUUUGUAGCUCAGCUGGCUAGAGCAGCUGAUUUGUAAUCAGCAGGUCGUGGGUUCGAGUCCCUCCAAAGGCU
rnacentral:tRNA from 7 species